GACGAACGCUGGCGGCGUGCUUAACACAUGCAAGUCGAACGGAAAGGCCCUGCUUUUGUGUGGUGCUCGAGUGGCGAACGGGUGAGUAACACGUGAGUAACCUGCCCUUGACUUUGUGAUAACUUCAGGAAACUGGGGCUAAUACCUGAUAGGAGCUCCUGCUGCAUGGUGGGGGUUGGAAAGUUUCGGCGGUUGGGGAUGGACUCGCGGCUUAUCAGCUUGUUGGGGGGGUAGUGGCUUACCAAGGCUUUGACGGGUAGCCGGCCUGAGAGGGUGACCGGCGACAUUGGGACUGCGAUACGGCCCAGACGCCUACGGGAGGCAGCAGUGGGGAAUAUUGCACAAUGGUCGGAAGCCUGAUGAAGCAACGCCGCGUGCGGGAUGACGGCCUUCGGGUUGUAAACCGCUUUAGCCUGUGACGAAGCGUGAGUGACGGUAAUGGGUAAAGAAGCACCGGCUAACUACGUG
rnacentral:rRNA from 1 species